UACAGAGGGUGCAAGCGUUGUUCGGAAUUACUGGGCGUAAAGCGCGUGUAGGUGGCGAUGUAAGUCGGGUGUGAAAUCCCUCGGCUCAACCGAGGAAGUGCACUCGAUACUGCGUUGCUUGAGUGUUGGAGGGGAUGGGCGGAAUUCCCGGUGUAGAGGUGAAAUUCGUAGAUAUCGGGAGGAACACCUGUGGCGAAGGCGGCCCAUCUGGACAACUACUGACACUGAGACGCGA
rnacentral:rRNA from 1 species